GCUUAAGGGAUGUCCUCUGGAUGAGGUUUGUGUGGUUGUGUGUUCUGUGAUUUAGAACAGCUGCAAAUAGCAACAAUCUCUCCAAAACAGAAGCUUUAUCAAGGUAGUUUAUUUCUUGCCCAGUAAAAAGAAAGCAGCAUCUUGAGGCAGGUUGUACGUCUUUGCGAUGUCAGGUGUCGGUAGGCAGAUGGGAGUCCUGUUACUUUGGAAGAAGGGAGGGUAGGCAGGGAAAGGGGUCUGGAAGAGCCUCCAGCACUGAUCCAUGUUCUUGCUCCCUCAGGUUUAGAGAAGUGGCAGGAUCCUUAGAAGCAGCACUCACAGAUGGGCUAGAAGACGCUCCAGCUGGAAGUCCGUAUUGUCUUUUGGCUUCUCAUACAACAUGGAGCAGCCUGAGGAAGUGCUGGUCUGAUGAGAUGUUCCUGCCUCUGCUGACGCACCGGCUGUGGAGGCUCACACUGCAGAUUCUGGCCCGAUUCUCUGUGUUUGUCAGCGAGGUGAGUAGCUACCACUCAGCUCCUCUCUAAUUAGUUAGUGGGGCACGUAGCCAAACACCCAAGGAGAUUUGAAGUGCUGUGGGUGCCUGACCAUAUGCUCAGUGUUCGUUAUUGAAAAGCCCACUCUAAUGAGUUCAUUUCUCUUCUCAAAGUGAGACUCUUAAAUGUUUGUUUUAAUGAAAAUACUAGAAAGUAAAUUUUAACACUUGAAGUUUCAAUCACAUGAUCCCCA
rnacentral:lncRNA from 1 species